rnacentral:rRNA from 1 species
GAUGAACGCUAGCGGCAGGCCUAAUACAUGCAAGCUGAACGGUAAAUGUUGUAGCAAUACGAUAUGAGAGUAGCGUAAGGGUGCGUAACACGUAUGCAAUCUACCCGCAACAGGAGGAUAGCUCCCCGAAAGGGGAAUUAAUACUCCAUAAUAUCACGAGAGGGCAUCCAAUUGUGAUUAAACUCCAAGGGGUUGCGCAUGAGCGUGCGUCUGAUUAGUUAGUUGGUGAGGUAACGGCUCACCAAGACGAUGAUCAGUAGGGGAACUGAGAGGUGGUUCGCGCACACGUGGACUGAGAUACGGGCCAGACUCCUACGGGAGGCAGCAGUAGGGAAUAUUGGUCAAUGGGUGAAAGCCUGAACCAGCCAUGCCGGGUGCAGGAAGACGGCCUUCUGGGUUGUAAACUGCUUUUAUCUGGGGUUAAAAUACCCGUGCGCGGGGAAUUGAAAGUACCAGAGGAAUAAGCCACGGCUAACUACGUGCCAGCAGCCGCCGUAACAC